AGGUUGUGUUGAGGAAACUUCCUCAAGAGCUUCUUGAAAUGCUCCCAAGCUUCAUAAAGAUUCUCAUGAGUAGAUUGAGCAAAUGUCAUGAUAUCAUUCUUAAGCAU